rnacentral:tRNA from 1 species
GGGGAUUUAGCUCAGUGGCAUAGCACCUGCCUGGCAAGCACGAAGUAUUGGGUUCAAUCCCCG